rnacentral:rRNA from 1 species
AUUGCCCUAGUACGGCGAGUGAAGCGGCACAGCUCAAAUUUGAAAUCUGGCUCCGGCCCGAGUUGUAAUUUGUAGAGGAUGCUUUUGGCGAGGUGCCUUCUGAGUUCCCUGGAACGGGACGCCAGAGAGGGUGAGAGCCCCGUAUAGUCGGACACCUAGCCUCUGUGAAGCUCCUUCGACGAGUCGAGUAGUUUGGGAAUGCUGCUCAAAAUGGGAGGUAUAUCUCUUCUAAAGCUAAAUAUAGGCCAGAGACCGAUAGCGCACAAGUAGAGUGAUCGAAAGAUGAAAAGCACUUUGAAAAGAGGGUUAAAUAGCACGUGAAAUUGUUGAAAGGGAAGCGCUUGUGACCAGACUUGUGCCGGGCUGAUCAUCCAGUGUUCUCACUGGUGCACUCGACCCGGCUCAGGCCAGCGUCGGUUCUCGCGGGGGGAUAAAAGCUUCGGGAACGUGGCUCCUCCGGGAGUGUUAUAGCCCGCUGUUUAAUACCCUCGCGGGGACCGAGGUUCGCGCUCUGCAAGGACGCUGGCAUAAUGGUCAUCAGCGACCCGUCUUGAAACACGGACCAAGGAGUCGAGGUUUUGCGCGAGUGUUUGGGUGUAAAACCCGCACGCGUAAUGAAAGUGAACGUAGGUGAGAGCUUCGGCGCAUCAUCGACCGAUCCUGAUGUAUUCGGAUGGAUUUGAGUAAGAGCGUACAGCCUCGGACCCGAAAGAUGGUGAACUAUGCCUGAAUAGGGUGAAGCCAGAGGAAACUCUGGUGGAGGCUCGCAGCGGUUCUGACGUGCAAAUCGAUCGUCAAAUUUGGGCAUGGGGGCGAAAGACUAAUCGAACCAUCUAGUAGCUGGUUACCGCCGAAGUUUCCCUCAGGAUAGCAGUGUUGUUCUUCAGUUUUAUGAGGUAAAGCGAAUGAUUAGGGACUCGGGGGCGCUAUAUAGCCUUCAUCCAUUCUCAAACUUUAAAUAUGUAAGAAGCCCUUGUUACUUAGUUGAACGUGGGCAUUCGAAUGUACCAACACUAGUGGGCCAUUUUUGGUAAGCAGAACUGGCGAUGCGGGAUGAACCGAACGCGGGGUUAAGGUGCCAGAGUGGACGCUCAUCAGACACCACAAAAGGCGUUAGUACAUCUUGACAGCAGGACGGUGGCCAUGGAAGUCGGAAUCCGCUAAGGACUGUGUAACAACUCACCUGCCGAAUGUACUAGCCCUGAAAAUGGAUGGCGCUCAAGCGUCCCACCCAUACCCCGCCGUCAGGGUAGAAACGAUGCCCUGACGAGUAGGCGGCCGUGGGGGUCAGUGACGAAGCCUAGGGCGUGAGCCCGGGUCGAACGGCCCCUAGUGCAGAUCUGGUGGGGUAGUAAAA